CCCAUUGCUAGGUAUUGUUGUACAGAUUGACUUCCAGUCAUACUAUAACAACCUACUAGAUAUCUUUUUGUUGGUUAAGGAACAAGGCGAGACCAACCAAUGUGCUGCUUUCAUCUCCAAAAUCUCUCCGAUCAUCUCCAAGCGCGGCAAGAUUGAUUCGUUUGAGAGGAACGGAAAAAUUGGAACGAAGACAACCCUUCAAGAUAUUCAGAAACUGAAGGACAAUCUGAUAGUUGACAUCAGUGUUGUUUUUGUGCACCAACGCGAUGGACGACGGUACAGCAGCACUCAGAGAGUUGACCUGGGACUUCCGCUCGUGUCAAAUCUGAAACUGUGGAAGCCCGCAAUAGGCUUUGAGCCCACGUAUCGGGAGCCCCUUGAACAAGACCAAUAAGACAGUAUCUGAUUUUUUUACUCAACUUCAUGUGCUUUUUGGAAAAAGGAAAACAUUCCGGAUACUGCCAGAGCCUUAGUGACGUUUUUGUGCGCACCCUCGGCGGCCUGUCAUGCAAACACAUCAACCUUUAUCGUACCUUAAAACAGUUCAAGAUCAUCCAAGUCCUAGAUCGCAUGUUGCUGGAGGUAAUAUGAACAUGCAUCGCAAAGCCAAAAAUAUAUUGCUUAAAUAAAUGAAUUGUUUAGAGCCUAGUUUAUCAUCACGGACAGUGUAUUUCUAUGUUGAUUAUUUGUUCAAUUAACUCUUAAUUCU